AUGUACCACUCCUACACUCCGGUUCUGAGCGCGCCACCCGCACUCACCUAACGACCGCUUCGCUACGUUUUGUUAGCC
rnacentral:sRNA from 2 species